rnacentral:rRNA from 1 species
UACGGAGGGGGCUAGCGUUGUUCGGAAUUACUGGGCGUAAAGCGCACGUAGGCGGCUUUGUAAGUUAGAGGUGAAAGCCGGGGGCUCAACUCCGGAAUUGCCUUUAAGACUGCAUCGCUAGAAUUGUGGAGAGGUGAGUGGAAUUCCGAGUGUAGAGGUGAAAUUCGUAGAUAUUCGGAAGAACACCAGUGGCGAAGGCGACUCACUGGACACAUAUUGACGCUGAGGUGCGAAAGCGUGGGGAGCAAACAGG